rnacentral:lncRNA from 1 species
GGGGAAGAUUCAGCAUGUUCUGGAGGCUUAGAUCCCCCUUACAGACAAGUCCAUUAAUCAUGACAUUAUAUUUGGAAUGUUUUACCGGUGGGUAUGUCUGUUGUAUUGCCACAGUUAUUACUGUUAUGACAUACCAAGGUUGAGGAUUAGCCUAUGUAUCUCGACAAGGUUUUAUCCUGCUCUGUGAAAAGUAAUUGAGAACAGGCCGUAGGGCAUGCAGUACUGACAUUACUGGGUUGAAAUCUAUAGCCAACCGUCUGUCACCGCUAGCAUUGUAGAAUUCUGUAGUACAGAAUCCAGUCUCAUGGCCCUUAAGGAGUAGUCUAAAUAAUGUUAUCUUUCAUUUUGACAUGGUUAUUCUUUCUGUCUGCAGCUCAGAGAACACCAAAUUCGUAGUGGUAGGCCCCUCAGACCAGACCCUGGACCAGACUGUUAGCGGUCCAGACACAACCAGCAACGACCUACUGACGUCUCUCAGAAACAUGGUUCGAUCCAACAUGGCUGCCAUAGAGAAGGGUUCUCCCUCCAGGAAGAAGAAUCCCUCCAGAGCCAACAGAUUGAACAUCAGGUAGAUGAGGAGGAGGGAAGAAGAGGAGCUUGAAUAGCUCCAGAGCAUUCGAACAAAGACCUCCUGGAGGAGUCUAGGGAGUCCUCCCCCAGGAAGACAGAUAGGUCCUGAGAGGAGAGGGCAAAGAUGAGAAGAGGGAAAAGAUGGAACACUGCCCAAUGGCUGCCUGCUGAUUGUUGUAUACCACCCAGUGGACUGGAUCUGGACAUUAUCUGAAUAUGAGUCUUGGACUAAUCUAGCUAAUAGUCUGGCUUAGAAGACUAGGGAGGUUUAAAGUGUGUCCUCUGUCAACUGUGACAGUCUGGACUAGAAUGGUUACUGACUGUGUGCUGGGCAUGGGUUGUCAUCAUGUUCUAAACAUAAAUACACUUUCUGUGUCUGAGCACAUGAAAUGGGUGGAUGCAAGCCAAGGCAUUCUGGAGUGAUGUUUGCCUAUGUUUACUUUACAGGCUUACUUCAUUAGUGCCUUGAAAAUAUUGACCACUAUUGUCAUUUGGAUUUUGAUCUUUACUUUACCUGUCGCACGACAUCUACUAUAUCAUAGAAUAACAAAAUAAUCCUCUGUAUCAGAGAUUAAUUGCCAGUUUAUAGUGAUUGCCAUGCAUGCAUUUAAAUGACUUGAAAUACAUUUGGCACAUGAAGGACAUGACUUUAAGGGACCUGGAAUUACUAUACACAUAGCCUUCCUGUAGCAGCAGAUAAAAGCAGGUCUAUUGUGAUUGCGGAAAUAUUUAUUGCAUACUGUAGCCACUGUUGAUUGUUUUGAUUGUAGACAGGGUGAAGGCAGCAGGUUUCAAUAGGUCUGCUCCUUGCCAAAUAUGCAGUGAUUGUUUUUCUGCUUUCAACAAAUGUCCAUUAAAUGUCAAUGUCAUUACUCGUUAGGAAAUUAUGACACUGCACUUUUGUUCUAAUGCCUUCAAAGGAAUGUGUUUUUAUGUCCAGUAGGCUUUAGAUGGGUUGGGCUGAUAGCUGAACUCCAGCCACUGUCUGACCAUAAGGCAUUUUCUGUAAACACUACAUCAAAAAAACAAGUCUUCUACUGAUGUUGAAGUCCAAUAUCACAAUGCUGUAUAUUUAUGAUAUUAUUAUUUAUUUAUUUGUUUGUGUGUUGUUUACGAAUGUGUGUAUCAAAAUGCUGGACAGUGCUUUUGUUUAAUGAACUGUUGUUAUCCCUAGAAGGACAAUUCACCCUCAAUCGUCUAUUUAGCAGUCAAGGACACCAUAGGAAAUGUUUACCCAUGAAUUGUUCUAUUCCAAGCUAUUCAUAUUAUCUACUGUACAUGUACAAAACUCUGAAAUUAUUUAUUUAACUUAUUUGUGG